ACGGCUCAGUAACACGUAGAUAAUCUACCCUUGAGUGAAGGAUAAGCACGGGAAACUGUGUCUAACACUUCAUAUGGGAUUCGACCUGGAAAGGUAUUUCCCUGAAACUCGUGCUCAAGGAUGAGUCUGCGGAUGAUUAGCUUGUUGGUGGGGUAACUGCCUACCAAGGCGAUGAUCAUUACGGGCUCUUAGCGGAGUUGCCCGGAGACGAAAUCUGAGACACUAUUUCGAGCUCUACGGAGUGCAGCAGUCGCGGAACUUUUACAAUGCACGCAAGUGUGAUAAAGCGAACCAAAGUGUUUGUCGUAUAGAUAAACUUUUUCUUAGUGUAAAAACCUAGGAGAAUAAGGACUGGGAAAGACUGGUGCCAGCCGCCGCGGUAAUACCAGCAGUUCAAGUUGCAUCCCUUUUUAUUGGGUCUAAAACAUCCGUAGCUUGCCGUUUAAGUCUCUUGUGAAAUCUCACGUCUCAAGCGUGAGGCUUGCAGGAGAUACUGAGCGGCUAGAGAUCGGUAGACGUAAGGAGUACGCCGGAGGUAAUGGUAAAAUAUGUUAAUCUUCGGUGGACUAACAAUGAGCGAAGGCACCUUACGAGGACGAAUCUGACAGUGAGGGAUGAAGGCCAGGGGCGCAAAACGGAUUAGAUACCCGUGUAGUCCUGGCAGUAAACACUGUUCACUAAACAUCGGGCCCUCUUCGGGAGGAUUCGGUGCUGAAGCGAAGCGAAGAGUGAACUACCUGGGAAGUAUAGUCGCAAGAUCGAAACUUAAAGGAAUUGGCGGGGGAGCACA
rnacentral:rRNA from 1 species